rnacentral:rRNA from 1 species
CCUACGGGUGGCAGCAGUGGGGAAUUUUGGACAAUGGGCGCAAGCCUGAUCCAGCCAUUCCGCGUGCAGGACGAAGGCCUUCGGGUUGUAAACUGCUUUUGUACGGAACGAAAAGGCUCUGGUUAAUACCUGGGGCUCAUGACGGUACCGUAAGAAUAAGCACCGGCUAACUACGUGCCAGCAGCCGCGGUAAUACGUAGGGUGCAAGCGUUAAUCGGAAUUACUGGGCGUAAAGCGUGCGCAGGCGGUGAUGUAAGACAGAUGUGAAAUCCCCGGGCUCAACCUGGGAACUGCAUUUGUGACUGCAUCGCUGGAGUGCGGCAGAGGGGGAUGGAAUUCCGCGUGUAGCAGUGAAAUGCGUAGAUAUGCGGAGGAACACCGAUGGCGAAGGCAAUCCCCUGGGCCUGCACUGACGCUCAUGCACGAAAGCGUGGGGAGCAAACAGGAUUAGAUACCCUGGUAGUCCACGCAGUAAACGAUGAGUGCUAGUUGUCGGGGUCUUAGACUUCGGUGGCGAAGCUAACGCGUUAAGCACUCCGCCUGGGGACUACGAUCGCAAGAUUAAAACUCAAAGGAAUUGACGGA